rnacentral:tRNA from 1 species
GGGCUUAUGGUCUAGGGGUAUGAUACUCCCUUCGCAUGGAUGUUUCAUCCGAAUGUAACUGGGAGUGGUCCGGGGUUCAAUUCCCCGUGAGUCCA